rfam:Gulosibacter sp. 10 strain 10(10) genome assembly, contig: Scaffold22
GAUGGUCCACACGGGGGCCCCUGGCAGGGGCUGAGAUCGGGCUGGUGGAGUCCGAGACCGUUGAACCUGAUCCGGUCAAUACCGGCGUAGGAAGUGAGGAGAUACUCGUG